AAUAGAUACCCCGGUAGUCCACGCCGUAAACGAUGAGUGCUAAGUGUUGGGGGGUUUCCGCUCCUCAGUGCUGCAGCUAACGCAUUAAGCACUCCGCCUGGGGAGUACGGUCGCAAGACUGAAACCCAAAGGAAUUGACGGGGGCCCGCACAAGCGGUGGAGCAUGUGGUUUAAUUCGAAGCAACGCGAAGAACCUUACCAGGUCUUGACAUCCCGGUGACCACUAUGGAGACAUAGUUUCCCCUUCGGGGGCAACGGUGACAGGUGGUGCAUGGUUGUCGUCAGCUCGUGUCGUGAGAUGUUGGGUUAAGUCCCGCAACGAGCGCAACCCUUAUUCUUAGUUGCCAUCAUUCAGUUGGGCACUCUAAGGAGACUGCCGGUGAUAAACCGGAGGAAGGUGGGGAUGACGUCAAAUCAUCAUGCCCCUUAUGACCUGGGCUACACACGUGCUACAAUGGACGGUACAAACGGGUUGCCAACCCGGCGAGGGGGAGCUAAUCCGAUAAAACCGUUCUCAGUUCGGAUUGUAGGCUGCAACUCGCCUACA
rnacentral:rRNA from 1 species